GAUGAAGAACGUAGCGAAAUGCGAUAAGUAAUGUGAAUUGCAGAAUUCAGUGAAUCAUCGAAUCUUUGAACGCACCUUGCGCUCCUUGGUAUUCCGAGGAGCAUGCCUGUUUGAGUGUCAUUAAUAUAUCAACCUUCUCUUUUUUGAGUUGUUUGGAUGUGGGGGUUUGCUGGCCUCUUAAAUGAUUCAGCUCCCCUGAAAUGCAUUAGCAGAACAACCUGUUCAUUAGCGUGAUAAUUAUCUAUGCUAUUGAAUGUGAGGGCAGUUCAGCUUUCUAACCGUACUUGGACAAUUCAUCAUUAAUGUGACCUCAAAUCAGGUAGGACUACCCGCUGAACUUAAGCAUAUCAAUAAGCGGAGGA
rnacentral:misc_RNA from 1 species